UUGUGCAGUGCAACAUAAGAAUGCUUGGAGGACUUGUCUCUGGUCAUCUACUUGCCACUGAUUCUACAGACAGGUUGGGUGAAGGUACACAAGAAUCAGCGGCUUACUUUGGCCGAGGAUUUGGGGAAACACUUUCUACCUGCAUUUGACACACCGACUGGAUUACCAUAUGCAUGGGUUAACUUAAAGGUACCACCUGAGACAUGCUGAGGUCCAACUAAGAAUUACGUUUUGAUUUUUAGGAUGUGUGCAUGAUAUGAUUAUUUCUAAAUUGUAACAUCAGUCUAAAAUACGGUUAGGUGUACCUUCAAAAUCUUUCCAAAGGAUUCACCUUUCAAGUUUUAAAAUUAUAUGAAAACAUUCAGGUGGUUUUGUUUUUAAGAAGGAUAUACGACUCCCCAUCAAUGCAAAAUUCCGUGGACCGUAUGGAGUGAUUGAGAAUGAGACUACUGAAACAAGCACUUCAGGGUGUGGUGAGUGGCUUUGUUUUGCUGUAUUGAGAUGAGGACAUCAAUAAUGGAUUUCCUGAAUGUCUUGAUUCUCUGUAGGAAUUCAGGUUCUCUAAUUCUGGAAAUGGGAGCAUUAUCCCAAUUGACUGGGGACCCGAAAUACAAAUCUGCAGCUUUACGUGCUCAUCGUUGAAUUUACUUGGUACAAACACUGGAUGUAUCAACUGGGGAAUGGAUUGAAUAUUCAACUGGGAUUGGGGCUGGUAGGUUUUCGCAGGACUUUGAGUUCUUCAACGUACUACAUUUUAUGAUGCAUGGUUUAUUGGCUUUCCCAAACAGAGUUUGAUGUUUCUGAUGUUGGAUUAUGUGUUACUUCAUUUAGGGGUUGAUUCAUUUUAUGAGUAUCUAGUUAAGGCUUGCAUUCUUUUUGAAAAGGGGAAGUUCUGGAGAAUGUUUCAUUCUGCUUAUAUUGCUGUGCAGGAAUAUUUCAGACAUGGUCCAAGGUACAGCACUAUUCCCUAGCCUUAUUGAAUGCCAUAAACAAAGUACCAUUAGAGAAGAAACAGAAAUAGAAACUGGUGUUACCAAUAUAUCAUUAAACUUGGAAAGAAUUGUUUAAUUAAUUCAGAAUCACAUCCUUAAUUUCCUUGUUUCUAGAAACUAAUAAUGAAUUGCUAAUCAACUACAAAGUGGAAACGCUAACCAAAGAAUGACUGCCAGUGCAGAACAUAUACAUCAUCCACAACAAACUAGCAGAACCAAAGUGGCCCUUACCUUCAUGAAUGGAUCUCCUUCCUCCCAGCAGAUCUUGCCUUCCUCCCAAUCUCCUUUCAGAAAAGCCUCCUCAUCCUGACCUUGCAACUCAUCAUCUUCCUUGAGGUAUACACCCAAUUUCUUAAGUGGGAGUCCAAAGUGGACCUGUAGAAAAGGAUCUUCACUGCCACAGCCACACAACAUCUCAAGUUGUUUGAGAUCCUAUAAAUGGUCCUCAAAAUACACUGACUUCUCCAUGUUCAAAAUGGUACGGCGAGCCGAUUCCCUUUCCUUAGUCCGUUGCAUCAAUUUUCUGCUUGGUGGAGAAUCAGGUGGACCUUUAAUUAUCUUGUUUGCUUUCAAUAUUGUAUCUGAAAAUCGUAUCUUCAGUGACCAAAUUCGGCUAGCCUUGCAUGGAGAAAGAUUAUGCGAGGCCUGAUCCAUGGCAUGAUGAACAAGGGUAGUCAAGAUCAUCUUUGGUUGAAUCAACUGGCUGAGAAUCAAAAACCCCAAGCCCUUGAGUUUGAAGAACUAGAAGUAGAAGAGCUCUUGCCCUAUUUCAGUUUGGGUGACACUAACAAACCCUUGACUUUGCACAAAGGACAAGUAGUCUUUGGCUUUUUCUCUAUGGCUUUUUUCCACUUGGUCUCAAAAACACCACUGCGAUUCUUGGUUUCUCCAUGCUCAAUUCUCCCAAACCGAUAAUAUCUUAAAGCACUUGAGAAGAUAAGCCUGACAUUAGCAGCAAAGCCAUUAGCGCUGGAGUAGGCACCUCUCUCCAAUUUGGAUUUCACAGUACCGAAAUCCGUCGGCCUCCCGAUGUCGUCAAAAUAACCAGGCAAAUUCUCGGCCACAAGAUCAACCACAUGCUUAACGAAGAACCUUGCAUGGCGGAGCAUCAUGUGAAAACCUAAGAUUUCAGAACAAUACAUCGUUUCUUUCCACCAACACCCAGUUUUGCCUCUUGCUCUUUGGGGUCUGAUGGAGAUCAUCUAAACCCAGCUCCUCCAAUUGGCCAUGCUUUCUAGAAGACGAAGCCAAAGUGAUGAUGGUCUUGCCUUGUUUAUGUGACAAACCCUUGCACAGAGGAAGACAAGCAGUUGGCUUUUCCUCCUUGAAGACCUCUUGCUCUUCUUGCUCCAUGGCUAUGUAUCAAAAUUUUUGUUCACAAUGUAAAUUCUUAUGUAAACGUACCUAAUGCUCAUUGUGUUUUAUGUGUAUGCUUUAUCAGCUUGUCAUAAAGUGAUAAUAUGGUGGUUUGAUGAAUGUGAGUAUGUAUAUUUUGUUUCUGCAGUUGAUUGCUAAGGAAUUUGGAAGUGUGUGUUCCCUUGAGUUUUUUUCUCAUGUGGAAGUGUGUAUGUUUUUUGGUAAUGAGAAGUAAUGUCUUCGGUAA
rnacentral:lncRNA from 1 species